rnacentral:rRNA from 1 species
GAUGAACGCUGGCGGCGUGCCUAAUACAUGCAAGUCGUACGGAAAGGCCCUUCGGGGUACUCGAGUGGCGGACGGCUGAGUAACGCGUGGGAACGUGCCCCACAGUGAGGGAUAACGCACCGAAAGGUGUGCUAAUACCGCAUAUGGUCUUCGGAUUAAAGCUUCGGCGCUUUGGGAGCGGCCCGCGUACGAUUAGAUAGUUGGUGAGGUAAUGGCUCACCAAGUCGACGAUCGUUAGCUGGUCUGAGAGGAUGAUCAGCCAGACUGGGACUGAGACACGGCCCAGACUCCUACGGGAGGCAGCAGUGAGGAAUCUUCCACAAUGGGGGCAACCCUGAUGGAGCAACGCCGCGUGCAGGAUGAAGGUUUUCGGAUCGUAAACCGCUUUUAUAAGUGAAGAAUAUGACGGUAACUUAUGAAUAAGGAUCGGCUAACUACGUGCCAGCCGCCGCAGUAA